CGAUUAAAUCGGUAGACGCUACGGACUUAAAAUCCGUCGAACUUUUCAAUCGUGAGGGUUCAAGUCCCUCUAUCCC
rnacentral:tRNA from 1 species